UACGUAGGGUGCGAGCGUUGUCCGGAAUUAUUGGGCGUAAAGGGCUCGUAGGCGGUUUGUCGCGUCGGGAGUGAAACCUUGGGCUUAACUCAGGGCUUGCUUUCGAUACGGGCAGACUAGAGGUAUGCAGGGGAGAACGGAAUUCCUGGUGUAGCGGUGAAAUGCGCAGAUAUCAGGAGGAACACCGGUGGCGAAGGCGGAUCUCUGGGCCUUACCUGACGCUCAGGCGCGAAAGCUAGGGGAGCGAACUGG
rnacentral:rRNA from 1 species